rnacentral:lncRNA from 1 species
GGGAGAAAGAGCGGCAGGGAGUGAGUAGGAUUUAAGGGGAAAGCCUGGGUCUCCUGUCAGGGAAUUUGCUUUCCAAAUUGGGUCUGCCUUGGAGGGAAAGAUGAAGAAGAAGUGAAGGCCCCAGACUUGGAACUUUUCAGCACUGUGAUGUAAAAACUUGACUCUGCAGCCAGAUAGGUCUCAGCCCGCCUUGAAGAUGUUGGCACCAGCCUCUACUUUGUAAAUGACUCCUUGCAGCAGGUGACCUUUUCCAGCUCCGUAGGGGUGGUGGUGCCCUGCCCGGCUGCGGGCUCCCCCAGUGCAGCCCUUCGAUGGUACCUGGCCACAGGGGACGACAUCUACGACGUGCCACACAUCCGGCAUGUGCAUGCCAAUGGAACACUUCAGCUCUAUCCCUUCUCUCCCUCCGCCUUCAAUAGCUUUAUCCACGACAAUGACUACUUCUGCACUGCGGAGAAUGCUGCCGGCAAGAUCCGGAGCCCCAACAUCCGCGUCAAAGCAGUUUUCAGGGAACCCUACACCGUGCGGGUGGAGGAUCAAAGGUCAAUGCGUGGAAACGUGGCCGUCUUCAAGUGCCUCAUCCCCUCUUCAGUGCAGGAAUACGUCAGCGUUGUGUCUUGGGAGAAAGACACAGUCUCCAUCACCCCAGUUCCCAGGUGGCACACAGAGAUGGAAAAUUGGUUUGCCACAACUGGAAGGAGCCUUGGAUACCAUGGAGCCCCAUCCUCAGAAUAUUUGCUACAGAUGCCAUUUGUGGCCAUGCUUGGACUUGAGAAGACCCAGGUCUCAAGAAGCAUCCUACUACAGGAAGAGGGAGUCCAUCGUCCAUCUCAUUCUCAACAGAGUAGACUUGGGUGGGGAUCCUCCAAGGUCUGGAUGUAUCGCCAGAGUUUACAAAGAGCACGGAAUGAGUUAGGGUGCAUAAGAGUGUGUGUGCGUGUGUGUUUAUCAUGCACAAAACAGUUUACCAUACAACUCAUUUGUCACAUGUGUAGCCAUAUGUGUUCCUGAAAAGUGACAUAUCAAAAUUCACCUUAAAUGGAGAAGUAUUCUUUUUAAGAAAACCUUGAGGUGACUUUGGCAAACAUGUAGAUAGUUGCACACACACACACACACACACACACACACACACAGAGUUGCUGCAAGUAGAACCUUGUAUGAUCUUUUGGGAGAGCAAUUGGGCAGUACAUAUCUGAAGCCUGAAAUUAUCCACAUUCUUAGGGUUCUAUCCUUCAGAAACAACCAAAGAUGGCAUAAAGUUUUCUGUUGACUGCUAUGCUAUUUAUAAAAGUGAAAAAUAAAAAAUCCUGAAUGAUUGAAUAACAUGACACAAUAAUACAAUUAAAUAUUUACAAUAUAUUUUAACUAUUUG